GACACCCCAGAGGCCGGACCUAGGCAACCCCAUCCUGGAGGUGCCGGGCCGGAGCUCCCAGAGUGCUGGGAGCGAGGCCUGGGCGGGGUCAGGUUCGGGUUCCCAGGGCAAAGCGGGGCUGCAGCCCAGGCGGCCGGAGCGGAACCCAGCCCUGCUCCGAGUGCCACGUCUCCAGGAACCCCCUCCUUACUCUAGGACACUCCGCCCCCGCCCGGGCCUCCGUCCCCCAAACCGCCCCCAUAUGUGCAGCGCCAGAUUCUCUGGACACAUCCCUAGGUGUCUCCAUCCUCAUCCUGUCCAUCCAGCUCCCACACCUCACGUCCCCAACCGGCUGCACCCCACUCCCCAGCCUGCGCCCCCAGAUCAGCAGCCUCCUCCCCUAGAUCCACCCGCCUGGUGAUGAGGCGCUCCCGCCUUCCUUCCGAGCUCCCGGUGUCGUCCGUGCGCCUCCCUUCCGCCCUGGCCUCCGGCGUCUGCCUUGCUCUCGCUGCCUCCCUUCUACACCACCCUUACCCUCCCAGCCCGGUGGAUCCCCUCGUCUCCCCCAAUCUCCAGGGCACUAGCUUUCCCUCGUCCUCUUCGCAGUUCAUCUCAGCUCAUCUCGCCAAUUCAAUGCCAUCAUCUCUCCUCACCACCUCUCCGUCGUACCCUGGAAUGUUUGCUGUCAGAUGUUCCCUGUGAAACCCACAAACCCUCGCGAUUUGGCCCCCUUGUUUUAUUUUGUGUAUUCCCACAACGUCUUGUUACUGCCCCCUAUUACCACACUUAUAACUCA